rnacentral:rRNA from 1 species
AUGCAAGUCGAACGGUAACAUAGAUUGCUUGCAAUCUGAUGACGAGUGGCGCACGGGUGCGUAACGCGUAUGCAAUCUACCUUUUACAGGAGAAUAGCCCAGAGAAAUUUGGAAUAAUGCUCCAUAAUAUCAUUUAUCAGCAUUGGUUUAUGAUUAAAGCUCCGGCGGUAAAAGAUGAGCAUGCGUUCUAUUAGCUAGUAGGUGAGGUAACGGCUCACCUAGGCUACGAUAGAUAGGGGCCCUGAGAGGGGGAUCCCCCACACUGGUACUGAGACACAGACCAGACUCCUACGGGAGGCAGCAGUGAGGAAUAUUGGACAAUGGAGGAAACUCUGAUCCAGCCAUGCCGCGUGCAGGAUGACUGCCCUAUGGGUUGUAAACUGCUUUUAUAUAGGAAGAAACACUCUCACGUGUGGGGGCUUGACGGUACUAUAGAAUAAGGAUCGG